rnacentral:rRNA from 1 species
AUCCGCGUGAGUGAAGAAGGCUUCGGGUUGUAAAGCUCUUUCGCAAGGGAAGAAACGAUACAGUCUAAUAAACUGUGUUAAUGACGGUACCUUGAUAAGAAGCACCGGCUAACUACGUGCCAGCAGCCGCGGUAAUACGUAGGGUGCGAGCGUUAAUCGGAAUUACUGGGCGUAAAGCGUGCGCAGGCGGUUUUGAAAGUCAGAUGUGAAAUCCCCGGGCUCAACCUGGGAACUGCGUUUGAAACUCCAAAGCUAGAGUAUGGGAGAGGGGGGUAGAAUUCCACGUGUAGCAGUGAAAUGCGUAGAGAUGUGGAGGAAUACCAAUGGCGAAGGCAGCCCCCUGGCUUAAUACUGACGCUCAUGCACGAAAGCGUGGGGAGCAAACAGGAUUAGAUACCCUGGUAGUCCACGCCCUAAACGAUGUCUACUAGUUGUUGGGAGAGUAAAAUCUCUUAGUAACGCAGCUAACGCGUGAAGUAGACCGACUGGGGAGUACGGUCGCAAGAUUAAAACUCAAAGGAAUUGACGGGGGACCGAACAAGCGGUGGAUUAUGUGGAUUAAAUCGAUGCAACGCGAAGAACCUUACCUGGCCU